AUUGAACGCUGGCGGCAGGCCUAACACAUGCAAGUCGAACGAGUGGCGGACGGGUGAGUAAUGUCUGGGAAACUGCCUGAUGGUGGGGGAUAACUACUGGAAACGGUAGCUAAUACCGCAUACCAUCAAAUGUGCCCAGAUGGGAUUAUCUAGUUGGUGGGGUAACGGCUCACCAAGGCGAGGGUCCCUAGCUGGUAUGAGAGGAUGACCAGCGACACGGGAAGUGAGAAACGGCACAGAGUCCUAGGGGAGGCAGCAGUGGGGAAUAUGGGAAAAUGGGCGCAAGCCUGAUGCAGCCAUGCCGCGUGGAUGAAGAAGGCCUUCGGGUUGUAAAGGACUUUCGGCGGUGAGGCGUUACCCGCAGAAGAAGAACCGGCUAACUCCGGGCCAGCAGCCGCGUAAUAC
rnacentral:rRNA from 1 species